rnacentral:rRNA from 1 species
GUGUCAGCAGCCGCGGUAAUACGAAGGGGGAUAGCGUUAUUCGGAAUCACUGGGCGUAAAGGGCGCGUAGGCGGCUUUGUAAGUCGGGGGUGAAAGCCUGUGGCUCAACCACAGAAUUGCCUUCGAUACUGCAUGGCUUGAGACCGGAAGAGGUAAGUGGAACUGAGAGUGUAGAGGUGAAAUUCGUAGAUAUUCGCAAGAACACCAGUGGCGAAGGCGGCUUACUGGUCCGGUUCUGACGCUGAGGCGCGAAAGCGUGGGGAGCAAACAGGAUUAGAUACCCCGGUAGUCC